rnacentral:rRNA from 1 species
GCCUACGGGACGCAGCAGUGGGGAAUAUUGCACAAUGGGGGAAACCCUGAUGCAGCGACGCCGCGUGAGUGAAGAAGCGCCUCGGCGCGUAAAGCUCUGCCAGCAGGAACGAUAAUGACGGUACCUGAAGAAGAAGCCCCGGCUAACUACGUGCCAGCAGCCGCGGUAAUACGUAGGGGGCAAGCGUUAUCCGGAUUUACUGGGUGUAAGGGGAGCGUAGACGGCGGGGCAAGUCUGGAGUGAAAG